UUGCUUUAAAACAAUUAGUGAAUGAACAAUUAUCGGCAGACCAUAUAGAGCCUUCAGUUAGCCCCUAUAAUACACCCAUCUUCGACAUAAAAAAAGAAGAGUGGCAAAUGGAGAUUUCUCCAGGAUUUAAGGAAAAUAAACCAGAUCCUUGAACCCAUGGGGCCUUUGCAGUGUGGUCUGCCUAAUCCAAAUGUGAUUCCACAUUCUUAUCAAUUGGCUAUAAUAGAUUUGCAAGAUUGUUUCUUCUCCAUUCCCCUACAGGAGAAGGAUCGUAAAUUCUUUGCUUUUAC
rnacentral:sRNA from 1 species